UCCAAGUCAUCUCUUCGGGAUUGUUC
rnacentral:piRNA from 1 species